UCCCUGGUAGUAUAUCGGUUAGUACACGCGCCUGUCAUUAAUAAUUCUAAUAUUGGCGCGCGAAAGCUGGGUUCGACUCCCAGCCAGGGAG